rnacentral:tRNA from 1 species
GUCUUAAUAGUUUAAUUAAAAUAUUAGUUUUGUAAACUAAGGAUGAAAUUUUCUUAAGACU